UAGGCACAGUGCUAGGCCCUGAUGUUGCCC
rnacentral:piRNA from 1 species